UGGGGAAUAUUGGACAAUGGGGGGAACCCUGAUCCAGCAAUGCCGCGUGUGUGAAGAAGGCCUGAGGGUUGUAAAGCACUUUCAGAGGGGAGGAGGACUAUUAGGUUAAGAGCUAGAUAGUUGGACGUUACCCUCAGAAGCAGCACCGGCUAACUCCGUGCCAGCAGCCGCGGUAAUACGGGGGGUGCAAGCGUUAAUCGGAUUUACUGGGCGUAAAGGGCGCGUAGGCGGCGUGGUAAGUCAUCUGUGAAAUCUCCGAGCUUAACUCGGAACGGUCAGAUGAUACUGCUGUGCUAGAGUACAGAAAGGGCAAUCGGAAUUCUUGGUGUAGCGGUGAAAUGCGUAGAUAUCAAGAGGAACACCAGUGGCGAAGGCGACUUGCUGGACUUAUGGUGACGCUGAGACGCGAAAGCGUGGGGAGCAAACAGGAUUAGAUACCCCCGUAGUCCCUGAGCGGGCUGGCAAGGCGCAU
rnacentral:rRNA from 1 species